rnacentral:rRNA from 1 species
UGGGGAAUAUUGCACAAUGGGCGCAAGCCUGAUGCAGCGACGUCGCGUGGAGGAUGAAGGUUUUCGGAUCGUAAACUCCUGUUAAGUGGGAAGAAAGAGUGGAUGUUAAUAGCAUUCAAAGAUGACGGUACCACUAGAGAAAGCACCGGCAAACUUCGUGCCAGCAGCCGCGGUAAUACGAAGGGUGCGAGCGUUAUUCGGAAUUACUGGGCGUAAAGGGCGCGUAGGCGGUUUCCUAAGCAGCUUGUUAAAGACCACUUAAGUCGGUGGGGAUGCAGGUUGAACUGGGAGACUAGAGGGUAGGAGAGAGAAGUGGAAUUCUUGGAGUAGCGGUAAAAUGCGUAGAUCUCAAGAGGAACACCGAUGGCGAAGGCAGCUUCUUGGCCUACUACUGACGCUG